rnacentral:rRNA from 1 species
AACGAACGCUGGCGGCGUGCCUAACACAUGCAAGUCGAACGGAAUUAGAGAGCUUGCUCUUUGAUUUAGUGGCGCACGGGUGAGUAACGCGUAGAUAAUCUGCCUGACGAUCUGGGAUAACACUUCGAAAGAGGUGCUAAUACCGGAUAAGCCCACGGGUUCUUUGGAAUCUGAGGGAAAAGGGGGGGACCUUCGGGCCUUCUGUCGUCAGAUGAGUCUGCGUACCAUUAGCUAGUUGGUAGGGUAAAGGCCUACCAAGGCGACGAUGGUUAGCUGGGCUGAGAGGAUGAUCAGCCACACUGGAACUGGGACACGGUCCAGACUCCUACGGGAGGCAGCAGUGGGGAAUUUUGCGCAAUGGGCGAAAGCCUGACGCAGCAACGCCGCGUGAGUGAUGAAGGCUUUCGGGUCGUAAAGCUCUGUCAAUGGGAAAGAAGUGUAUUUUGGCCAAUAUCCUUAAUACUUGACGGUACCCAUAAAGGAAGCACCGGCUAACUCCGUGCCAGCAGCCGCCGUAACAC